UGGGGAAUAUUGGACAAUGGGCGCAAGCCUGAUCCAGCCAUGCCGCGUGAGUGAUGAAGGCCUUAGGGUUGUAAAGCUCUUUCGCCGACGAAGAUAAUGACGGUAGUCGGAGAAGAAGCCCCGGCUAACUUCGUGCCAGCAGCCGCGGUAAUACGAAGGGGGCUAGCGUUGUUCGGAAUCACUGGGCGUAAAGCGCACGUAGGCGGAUUGUUAAGUCAGGGGUGAAAGCCUGGAGCUCAACUCCAGAACUGCCCUUGAUACUGGCAAUCUCGAGUCCGGAAGAGGUAAGUGGAACUGCGAGUGUAGAGGUGAAAUUCGUAGAUAUUCGCAAGAACACCAGUGGCGAAGGCGGCUUACUGGUCCGGUACUGACGCCGAGGUGCGAAAGCGUGGGGAGCAAACAGGAUUAGAUACCCUGGUAGUCCACGCCGUAAACGAUGGAGGCUAGCCGUUGGCGAGCAUGCUCGUCAGUGGCGCAGCUAACGCAUUAAGCCUCCCGCCUGGGGAGUACGGUCGCAAGAUU
rnacentral:rRNA from 1 species